AGCUUUGCGCAGUGGAAUUAUCAUAGCCAAUGAGGUUUAUCCAAGGUGCGAUUAUUGCUAAUUGAAAACAUUUGCUGUUUUUCAGUGUUCAAAUCUUUUAUUUAUUUUGCUAAGCUUAUGCCUGAUAUUUGUGUUAAUAU